AUAGGAUCAGUUAACAUAAGGUAAAGAUAAGAUUGUAUAACAUAGGAUUAGAUUAAUUGUAAAUAAAGCAGUCCUCCUUAGAGGGGGGGUGGUGGAGGGAAUAUUUAAGAAAUAAAAAUAGGAUCAGUUAACAUAAGGUUAAGAUAAGAUUGUAUAACAUAGGAUUAGAUUAAUUGUAAAUAAAGCAGUCCUCCUUAGAGGGGGGGUGGUGGAGGGAAUAUUUAAGAAAUAAAAAUAGGAUCAGUUAACAUAAGGUUAAGAUAAGAUUGUAUAACAUAGGAUUAGAUUAAUUGUAAAUAAAGCAGUCCUCCUCAGAGGGGGGGUGGUGGAGGGAA